CCAGCGUUAGUGCGAGUGAGGCAGAUUUAAUGGGUUAAAGGGAGACAGAUGUAGUUGUAGUUGGUGAGUUGAGGCAGUGGGAAAAGAGGUGGAGGUGGCAAAAGAGUAAGCACUAACCUAUCAGGUGGCUUGUAUUUGUGAGGAAACGAUCUCCGCUGUGCAAUUGUGAAAAACCAAUAUAAGUAUGGGUUAAUCCCUCGGGGAUUUUCAGUUGUAACAGUGAGAGGGACAGCAAAACAUUACGAAAGGGGAAGAGAGAGAGAGAGAGGACAGACGAGGGUCAAGGGAUUCCCUUUUUCCCCGCCCUCUUCAACAGAAUCACAAAUUGUUACACAAACCCCUGGAAAAACUUCUUCCCAAGGUUUGACCCACUCUACCAUCACUAUUGGUACUCUCUCGGUAAAUCAAGUGCGUGGGAGGGGGGAGGGGAGGGGGUUGCCCUUCUACUCAAUUCUCUCAGUAACCCCACUCACAACUCAUUCCACCACUCCCAAAAGCAUUUUACCACUACCUAGUUACGAUGAAAACUCCCACCACUCAAUUUUCACACAGCCACUGUAUGUUAACUCUCCCUUUCUCUCUCUCGCUCUCUCUCUCUCUCUCUCUCUCUCUCCCUCUCUCUCUUGCCACUCAGGCAAAACUAGGCUCUCACUAUUACAUUAUGAAUAGAUGCGAUUGCCUAGAAUCCGAGCGACACAAUUCAACGAUUUAUGCAUUUGCUAGUUGUUUUUAGACAAUUUUUGUGGUAAUCAUUUCAUUUCAAGGAUUCGUUCACGUGCUUAUAAAUGGAUUUAUCAUUUUAGUGAAAAACUCUUAGAAAAAUUUCAAAUUGAGAAACAUGGAAGGGCGUAUUGACUGUUACAUUCGUAGUAAAUGUCAGAAUUGAGGGAUAUCAAUGCAUCAAAACAAUUUGCUGAACAGAACACGUUUUCAUGUAAGGAAGUUUGGAGUUCAAAUGCGAGGAAAUAUGGCAAAGUCAAUCUUUACUUCCGAAAACCUAAUUUAUGAUUUUGGGUUUCUCGUCAGCCUUCAUGAUUCAGCAUGAGACUGAUCGGGUGUUAAAUACUGUAUUAAAUCCUAUUGGGAUUCCUCCUCAGUAUACUCAACAUGAACCCAUAGGUGAUUGACCUAUUUUCGAAAAGAAAUGUGAUAAAUAUAUGAUUUAAUUUUAUUAAGGAUAUUUUCCGAAUAUUUUAGUAGUCUUUCCGCUACGGAGUCCAGAGAUAUCCAUCUACACUGAGAGGAAAAAAGUGAAUAUUUUUUAGCAAGAAAUGAAUAAUCUUCAUUGUUAUGGUAUUUUUGUUAUUUUCAGGUGGUAAAUUUUUCGAAAUGACUAACAAUAAAUCGAAGCAAACGAAUUUGUAUUGAUUGAGGAAAUAUUGGGAGAAAUAUUUCUUUGAUUUGCACUCGUUAUUUUUCUCAGAAUAUCUAUGUGAAAUUUCUUUGUUUGGACUGUCAAAAACUGACAGACUGAAAUUGAGUAUUUUUUUUAAUGUUGGGAAAAUUGGAAAAAUCCAAUUCUUUUCCAACUAUCCUCAUUGCUGUAAAUAUGGACAUAUCAGCAAAGGGGUUUGGUAAUUUCUAUUGAAUUUUUCUCUUCUUAGAAAAAUAUCUUCAUCUGAUUCAGAUUCGCAUAGUUAUCGAGCAUUGGAAGGGCUGAAGCAACGUAAGUCCUCUUAACACCUUGCUCCUAAAUUAGUAGAAAUGAAAAUAGUCGAAACACAUGUGGAAAACACUAGUUAUGUCAUGUGCCAAAUAACUUCUGUCAUGUUAUUUUUUCUGCUUUUCAUAAAAAAAGAAAAAGAAUUUAUUUUCCGAGUUAAAUUUUUUUUUCCUCUUAAAAAACGAUUUUCAGGUGUGGAAAUACAAAAGAGACGAAAAAACAUCGUGAGAUACUAAAAUUUCGGUAUUCUCAUUCUGCCCCCGAUGCGGUAAUCCCAACUUGUGGUUUCUCAUUCUUCUGUCACUUCCUUCCUCUCUCUCUCUCUCUUCCUUUCGUCCCACUGUGACACUGCCUCCGCCUCAUGAGAUGACGCUUAUCACUCUCACUCUUACUUAUGUUUUUUUAACAAUUCUAUUUCCUCAACGCAUGGCAACUUAUCGCAUUUCUUGUUCUUAUUUAAUCAAUGUUGUGAUUGUAUCUGGCCGUUAGUAGGUUAGUGUGUCUUGCUUUCGUGAUACUGAAGAGGCUUUUAUUUGAAAUAGAACUGGAUUAAUUAUCAUAUACUGAUGACGAGCGAAGUUGACACACGUGGCGCUUAUAAUACUCAACUCGCCUGUUUCCAUAUCGACGGAAAUAUUUUGUUGUAACACGUAAAUAUCUUAUGUACAACUGCACUGUCACGUGCAUAUUUUUAUUUCGAUAUUUCAGGCCGACAAUCACAUUUUACCCAAAUACAACUGCACCUUUCUACCUCAGAUGCAAACAUUGAAAUACUCUCACAUGGUUAUGCACAUGAUGAAAAUUUAGAACGCUAUAUACAUCUUUAUUAUUUACUUUAUUUACUGUGCGUAAAUUUAGACUGAACUGAAUACACGAUGCCAAGGAAUUCAUGGGGAAAUGAGGUCGGAAAGUGCGAUCUCGACCUCGGCGUAUCUUUUCCCUCUCUCUAUGUGUCUGUUUCUCUCCCUCUCCCUCUCGCUGUUGUUUAUUUAUUUUUGGUUUUUCUUUCUUGUGUAUUUAUUUCGAGGAAGAGAAGCAGGUCUCUAUGACAGAACAGCUGAUAUCGGAGUUUAUCACUCUUCCUUGUACCUAGUGUACUUGGAUGAUAACAAGUGGAGUACCACGAGGUCAAUUGUUAUCAGAAACGUGUCACUGGAUCAUUGGAAAAAAAAACUUUUUGUUGUAGGAAUUUUUUUUUUUGAAAAGCUGCCGAUUUUUUUGGAGGUAAUCUUUGUCGGAGAACUUUUCGCAUUUUUAAUGGCCAAAAUUUUGUUAUCAACCAUUCUUUUCAUAAAAUAGGUUGUGCAUAAUAAAGCAUGGGAAAAAUAUUAGUUUACACACGAAAGAGUAAAUUCUGUUGAUAGUAUCUAAGGAGUCACUUUCUAGCAUGUACGUAAAAUAUAUCCUAUACUUAGUUUCAAAUCUGUUGAAUUUUAGUUAGUAGUUUUUGUGCAUAUGUUGUCCAAUUGUGGGCCGAAAUAUAAGUUGGGCUUGCAAGGUUGAACAUUCCGCUUAGAUGGGCUUGUCAGAAUAGCAAAUGACGAUUUGUUGCAAAUCGGUCUCUUCCCAAUAUAUAUAAUGUAACUAUUGGGAUGUAUCAUUAGCUAAAUACAAGCCUGAAGGAACAACACAUGCCUCCCAUAUCCCUAGCGAUCUAUGUACGCUCCCCGCAAACCGUAUUUCAAUCUAA